rnacentral:misc_RNA from 1 species
UAACCCCUCAAGCUCUGCUUGGUGUUGGGGCCUGCCGUCUGGCAGCCCUUAAAAUCAGUGGCGGUGCCAUCUAGCUCUAAGCGUAGUAAUUUUUCUCGCUAUAGAGUCCCGGUGGAUGCUUGCCAUUAACCCCCAAUUUUCUAU